AAGAAAACAGCGAAAAAGAUGAGACGGAAUUCAAAUCCUAACAUUAAGCUCAAUAGAAAAAAAUUAUUUCACGUCCGCGUUCCCGAACUCGUACUCUCCCUUCCGAAAUCACACCCAAUUGAUUGAUUUGCUCACUUGUAAAACCCUAACACUUAAUUUUGGACUCCCAAACGGCGUCGCCUCUGGUUCUUUUGUUUCCCGUCGGGUUCUAGUUCAAUUUGAUUUGACAUAUUUCCGGCGACGCUCUAUUCUAUUCUGUGCUCGAAGUUCCUGUUUACGAGCUGGCUAUGGACUACGAGCCGUAUGAUAGCAGUGGAACUGAUGAUGAUCUUCCUCCAUCACAUCAAAAUAGGAUUCCAAGAGGUGGUGGUCGAAUUACUGGAAAUGGAAGAUCUGCUGUCAUUGGUUCUGUCCCCUACCCGAGAAUGUACGGAGAAACAGAUAUGGAGGCCCAAAUUCAUCAACUUGAGCAAGAAGCAUACAGCUCGGUUCUGAGAGCCUUUAAAGCUCAAGCUGAUGCCAUUACAUGGGAGAAAGAAAGUUUGAUAACCGAGUUAAGAAAAGAGUUACGGUUGUCCAAUGAAGAACAUAGAGAACUUCUUGCUAGAGUUAAUAAUGAUGAUGCCAUCAGAAGAAUAAGGGAGUGGAGGCAAUCUGGUGGGCAUCAAUCUGGUAUGCUUGGUGGUGGUCAAUCUGUUCAUGAUCCAAUACCCAGCCCCUCCAUUUCAGCUUCACGGAAGAAACAGAAGAUUGGCCCAUCUUUACCUUCUCAAUCCUUUGCUGGACCAUCUCCUACUUUUCUUCCACCUGUGGUGACUGCUGCAAACCAGCCAUUUUCAUCCGCUGCCAAGAGAGGACCUAUUGCGGGGCCGAAGGGGAAAAAACAUAAAUCUGGCCAAAUGAUGCCUGGUGCGUCUUCAAUGAAGUACCCUACUCCUGGUCCUUCAGGAAGAGCCCAACUCGGUAAUCGGUUUUCUGAACCUGCUGAGGCAGCAUCAUCUGAUCCAUUGGUUGGAAGGAAAGUGAGGACUAGAUGGCCUGAUGACAAUAAUUUUUAUGAAGCAGUUAUAACUGAUUAUAAUCCAGCUGAGGGUAGACAUGCUCUUGUUUAUGACAUGGGUACUGCAAAUGAGACAUGGGAAUGGGUCAACCUUGCUGAGAUUUCUCCUGAGGAUAUUCAGUGGGAGGGCGAAGACCCUGGAAUUUCUCAUCAUGGAAAUUAUGGUGGAUCAGGUCAUGUCAUGACUAGAUCUGGUGGACAUGAUAGUGCUCCAGGUGCAGGGAGAGGUAGGGGGUUGACUAAAGCCCAAUCCAGAAAAGAUUUUCUAAUAUCACAGAAUGGCAUAGGAAAGAAAGGAUCUGAUGAUAUUCAGUUACUUCAUACUGAUACACUGAUCAAAGAGGUGGAGAGGAUCUUUGGUGCUGGCCAUCCAGAUCCUCUCGAGGUUGAGAAGGCAAAGAAAGUGCUGAAGGAGCAUGAACAAGCACUGCUAGAUGCCAUUUCAAGGCUUGGAGAGUUAUCUGAUGGUGAAAGUGCUGUGAAGUUGGAUGAGAUGAUUAAUAAAAAUGGUGAUGGUGGAUGUUGUCUCUGGUAGACUAUGGCAAGAACAAAAUUCCAAACUUCGCCAUUUGAAGUUGAUGGCAAGGAUGAUGUUUCUUGACCUCAAGAUGGAGCUGGAGCUUGGAAGAUGAACGUCAUUUCAUGCAUGGACAAGCAAUGCAUCGGGAGUGACAGGAAUAUCAUGGUGGUGAGUAGUACAGAACAGCUGGGUUAUCGAGCCGCCUAAAAUAACAGCCACAUAGAGGAAGGCAAGAUGUCUAAAACAUUGUUUCCAAUGUCGGUGCGCCAGAAUGAUUUUAGGUCUGUUGUAGAAUGCCAGCUUCAAGAAACGCUUGGCUAACAUUAAUUUAUUGUAGUCUAGUUCUUUGAAUAGACACCAAUUUGUAGUCAGGAAUGAUUUAUUUCCCAUAGUUACAGGUUAGCGCUCUUGUAAAAUUAAUCAUGGUAGCAAUUUUACAUGUGAUGGUGUAAAAUUUUUUUGACAGCUGGCACUUGGAUUAUGACAUCCCAUUUUUUCUUGUGCAA